AUCCAGCUGACGAGUCCCAAAUAGGACGAAAGACGAGUUAAACUGGAU
rfam:Schistosoma rodhaini strain Burundi genome assembly, scaffold: SROB_scaffold0000137